rnacentral:lncRNA from 1 species
UUAAUAUUUAAAUAUUAAAUAUACAAUUUUCAUCACAAACUCUAAUCAAUUUCCCCCCCUCUCUCUCUCUAUAUCUCGCUCUCACCCCUCUCUCUCUCGUCUCCUUCUCUGAGCUGCAUUGGGAGCUACAAUGUCGCCAUCAGAGCUUCUCUUCAUCUAUCGAUCGGAGCUAUAGCGGUGAUGACCCACAAUUGGGAGCGUCGUGUGGAAUAGAGCUUCUCUUCACCGAAGCUGCAACGGAUUUACAACGGAUUUAAUCUAAUUUUUGCAAAAGAUCGUUGACAGUGGUAGGUUUUUGCGCAUAUCUGACCUGAUUUUUUAGCAUGGUCGUCAGUAGUGGUUAGUUUUGCACAGAUCUGAUUGGUAGCAAUUGUUUUUUCCAAAAUGAUGGUGUUGGUGAGGAGGUUGUGGUGAGGUAGUGAUGUUUGAUCAUGGUGAGGUGGUGGUGGUGGCGGCGACGAUGGGGUUGGUGAGGAGAUGGUGGUGAGUUGAUUGUGGUGGUCGUCGUUUAAUCCCUGGUUGUUGUGGUGGUGAUGGUGGUUGUCGCUGUGGCCUCGAAUUGGGACAUGGUCAUUAGUUAUCGGGGUU